UACGAAGGGUGCAAGCGUUACUCGGAAUUACUGGGCGUAAAGCGUGCGUAGGUGGUUUGUUAAGUCUGUUGUGAAAGCCCCGGGCUCAACCUGGGAAUGGCAAUGGAUACUGGCAAGCUAGAGUGCGGUAGAGGGUAGUGGAAUUCCCGGUGUAGCGGUGAAAUGCGUAGAGAUCGGGAGGAACACCAGUGGCGAAGGCGGCUUGCCAGAACGCGCUCGACGGUGAGGGAUGAAAGCUGGGGGGAGCAACCGG
rnacentral:rRNA from 1 species